UACAGAGGUCUCAAGCGUUGUCCGGAUUUAUUGGGCGUAAAGAGCGUGUAGGCGGCUAGGUAGGUCCGUUGUGAAAACUCGAGGCUCAACCUCGAGACGUCGAUGGAAACCAUCUAGCUAGAGUCCGGAAGAGGAGAGUGGAAUUCCUGGUGUAGCGGUGAAAUGCGCAGAUAUCAGGAAGAACACCCGUGGCGAAGGCGGCUCUCUGGUACGUGACUGACGCUGAGACGCGAAAGCGUGGGGAGCGAACAGG
rnacentral:rRNA from 1 species